AUUUAGGAAAGUUUUAUGCCUACACUAACCUUUCAUCAAAUAUAAUUUCUGACUAAUAUUCAUAAAUUGCUACUAUCCAUUCCACAGGUAGCAGUAGACCGAUAUUUCCGGAAUGAUUAAUCAAAGCAGCACAUCCCAGCGUAAUGGCAAGGCUUGGGGCAAAGUCUACAAAACAACCUAAAAAAGUAAAUUUGUGAUCAUGGACCAUUGGCAAAGAUGC